AGGGGGUUUGAUCAUGGGGCUCAGAAUGAACGUUGGCGGCGUGGAUUAGGCAUGCAAGUCGAGCGAAAAGCUCUCCUUCGGGAGAGUGGACAGCGGCAAACGGGGUAGUAAUGCGUAGGUGACGUACCCUUGGGACCGGGAUAGCCGUGGGAAACUGCGGGUAAUACCGGAUGAUCUCCUGAGUCGUGGUGGACUCGGGAGCAAAUGGUGUGAUUCCGCCCUUGGAGCGGCUUACGUGGUACUAGCUAGUUGGUGAGGUAACGGCUCACCAAGGCUCAGAUGCCUAGGGGGUGUGAGAGCAUGGCCCCCACCACUGGGACUGAGACACUGCCCAGACACCUACGGGUGGCUGCAGUCGAGAAUCUUCGGCAAUGGACGCAAGUCUGACCGAGCGACGCCGCGUGCGGGAUGAAGGCCCUUGGGUUGUAAACCGCUGUCAGAGGGGAUGAAAUGCAUGAAGGCUAUCCUUCAUGUUUGACAAAGCCUCAGAGGAAGCACGGGUCUAAGUACGUGCC
rnacentral:rRNA from 1 species